ensembl:processed_transcript
AAACCCCCAUGUUUCAGCAGGGUGUUUUCACACCUCUAUUUUAGAAAAAGUCAAGAAAGUGGGUGUGUCUAGCUUUGUUUAGGUGGGAGUGUCGGGGGAGGGAAAAGGGAAAGGAUUUAAAUAAAAAUGGGAGUUUCCAUUUGGGCACGCGCUGAUUUUCACCGAGGCAAAACAAACACACACACAGGGGAGAAAGACAGUGACUGUGUUUAAUGACGGUGGAAUGUUUGAUACUGCACGUCGUAUAAAGGCUGAUUUAUACUUCUGCGCUUAAGAGAAAAAAUCUCUGCAUUUCUCUGUAAAAAGCCAUGUGUGUAUAGACUAUCCGGUCACAAAAUGCGACGAAAAUAAACACGACGGUCUGUAAUAGUUUGCUUGCAGUGUUCACAUGUUCACACUUGGAGAGCAGCAUUUACAGCAAAUCUUUCAGUCCAUAAUAUUGUAGUGAUGUUAACGUAAACUAAGUAACUUAGAAAUCAUUUGACUAAGGUCUGUCUUUAAACACUGAAAGAGUACUGCUGACGAUACGAACUAUAACUUUGCCAUAUGAAUGAACAAAGAAAGGGCACUGAUCGCACGCACUUACCAAAUCUGUAGAGACAGGACAAUCAACACCAUCUGGAGCCGUGUCU